rnacentral:pre_miRNA from 1 species
UAAUUACUCCCUUCGCUCGGAAUUACAUGUCGCACAAAUAAAUGUAUUUAGACGUAUUUUAGUUCUGAAUAUAUAUUCAUUUUCGAGACAAGUAAUUUCGAACGGAGGGAGUAAUUC